GAAUAUAAAGUUUAAAAUAUGUACAUACAUACAAAGAAAUAAAGUAUCAAACGAAAUUAAAGUGAAGCAUUUGUCGAAAAAAGGCGGCGAUGCAGAAGUAAAAGAAUAAGCAAUGUGAAAGAAAGUAACUCGAGACUAGUGUUUGGGUGGCAAACGUGGAAAAAACAACAACAACAAUAGCAGAGCAGAAGCAGAAAAUGCAAGUGUGGAGAAGUGGAAAUCGUUGAUGCGCUCUGGAAUUGUUACAAAUUAAUUUAAAUGGAGUAGGUACAUAGUCGAUAAAUGUAGUGAAAACAAAACGCGAAGAAAAUUGCUUGCAAUGCAAUAAAAUACAAAAGUGUGCGAAGAAAAUACAUUUGAAACAGUGAAAUGGAUUUAGUGUGAAUGGAACGAAGAAAAUUAAUAAGACCGAAG